UUGCCAGGACACGAGGUCCUGAGGUAUAGUGAGAUAUUGGGCAGGCUACGAGUUUGUUCCUUGGAGAGCAAGAGGCUGAGAGAUGAUUUAUAGAAUUGUAUAAAAAG